rnacentral:telomerase_RNA from 1 species
GCCGGGGGGUGUGUGCGGUUGGGAUGUGCAAGCGAAUUUCUAAACCCUAAACCUUCCUCUCAAUUGGGGACAUUUGUUGGGGUCUUUCUCCGAUUGUUUCCCCCGUGUGGUCAAAAAAAGAAACGUCGACGCCCUUGCGCGUGCAUUCCUCGUGGUACGCCCGUCGGAGAGGCUUGAAGGUGGUGCUGCCUGCAACCUGGACUGGUGCCUCGCGGCUACUGUAUAUCCUCGCUUCUCCAGCACUCCCAUUUUUC